rnacentral:rRNA from 1 species
AUUGAACGCUGGCGGCAGGCCUAACACAUGCAAGUCGAGCGGAUGAAGGGAGCUUGCUCCUGGAUUCAGCGGCGGACGGGUGAGUAAUGCCUAGGAAUCUGCCUGGUAGUGGGGGAUAACGUCCGGAAACGGGCGCUAAUACCGCAUACGUCCUGAGGGAGAAAGUGGGGGAGCUUCGGACCUCACGCUAUCAGAUGAGCCUAGGUCGGAUUAGCUAGUUGGUGGGGUAAAGGCCUACCAAGGCGACGAUCCGUAACUGGUCUGAGAGGACGAUCAGUCACACUGGAACUGAGACACGGUCCAGACUCCUACGGGAGGCAGCAGUGGGGAAUAUUGGACAAUGGGCGAAAGCCUGAUCCAGCCAUGCCGCGUGUGUGAAGAAGGUCUUCGGAUUGUAAAGCACUUUAAGUUGGGAGGAAGGGCAGUAAGUUAAUACCUUGCUGUUUUGACGUUACCAACAGAAUAAGCACCGGCUAACUUCGUG